CUCACAGGAAAUUAGCUCUGCCCAAGUGGCAUCGGGGAGCACAGGGUUUUGCUCUAUGAUGUUUGGUCCCUUUUCACAAUGUUGGAGAUGAAACGGGUCCUGUGUCCACACCUGCAUAUUCUUACAGCUUCUCAGAGUCCUGUGGACAAUGACUGAGAGGAUAAACCAUACAGGAAACAUGU